UUGUAUAACGGAGAUGCCUAGGGCUGUCGCUGACCUCUAUAGGUCGUGCACGCCUGAAGGUGCUCUCUCACAUCCAUCUCACCCCUUUGUGCAUCACCGCGUGUGCUCCUCUAUUGGGCUUGUUCCAAAGGAGGGUUCACGUUUUUAUAUGAACACCAUUAUGUGUAGAAUGUCUUACUUUUUGUGAUUAUACACAAACAAUA
rnacentral:misc_RNA from 1 species